CUGCCUUAUAAGGGAAUAUCCACAGGUUCCCGGAAUUAGGACCUUGAUAUGGCUGGGAGCCAUUAUGCAGCCCACCAGUCACUAACCAUCCCUUAAACCAGCUUGGCCUCACUAGCUCCGCACUUGGAGUUGGCUUGUCCGGAGGAAGACCCUGAUGGGGGAAGCGUUUUGGAGGCACAGGACUUCAUUCUUCUCAUGUCUCCUCGGCUCGCAGACAGCCGGUCAAAGUCUUGGAGGUGGAAACGAGUUGCCAGCUGAUUUACCAUUUUCCUCAAGCAUCAGGUUCUUUUCCAAUGAGUCAGCUCUUUGCAUCAAGUGGCCAAAGUAUCGGAGCUUCAGCAUCAGUCCUUCCAGCUAUUCUGGGUGUAGAAUUCUAGGUUGGCAGAAUCUUUAAAGAUGACAAACAUACCAUUGCCGCCUUUUCCAUUACUUCUGAUGAUAAGCUUUCUUCCAUUUCAAGCCCUCUCUCUUCAUGUUCCAGCUAACUGGCUCUACUAAAGACAGGCUCAAGUUUUUCUUGAGAUACCCUUGAGGAAAACCUCCUUGAAACUUGGACCUAUGUUUUCAGAAGGAAUUAGAAUGGAUGCUAUCUAUAGUAAAGGCGACUCCUCAGGAAUGCUGUGUGCACAUGCUGGUGGCUCAGCAGUAAAGAAUCCAUCUGCAAAAGCAGGAGUCUCCAGUUCGAUUCCUGAGCGGGGAAGAUGCCCUGGAGAAGGAAAUGACAACCCACUCCAGUAUUCUUGCCUGGAAAAUCCCUUGGCCAGAGGAGCCUGGUGGGCCACAAGCUAUGAGGUCGCAAAGAGUCGAACAUGACUGAGCACACACACACACACACACCGUACACUUAAUUUAUAAAUGACAAUAUUUUGGCUAUGGCUAGAGAUUCACUAUUUUAACCUUCUUUGCUUUGAAGGAACCCAUUUUCAAUUCUUCUUCAAGUUGCUAAUGGUUCAAUAAGAAACAAGGCCCAGACCUGUGGUUUACAAACUUGUUUUUAAUAACAAAAUCUUACCUUCAAAUAAUAUCUUAUCCCAAAGUGCAAUGUGUAAAACAGAAAAAAAACUCAGUUGACCUGGUUAAGAGGGUGGCAAUCUUCUCCUUCUGUGCUCUGCCUCACCUAUCCUUUAGAAUUCCUGGGGCUCCACAGAGCACAGCCUGAAAACUAACACCCUACAACAAGAGAAAUGAGACGGUAUCAUUGGUCUCCUUUCUUGAUUAAAUUAUAUUGACCUUGCUGGAAGAAGUUCCAUUUAGAAGUUUGUGCCAGAAAGUGAAAAAUGUCGAUAUUAUCUAGUGUUGGCAAGGGAACAGGGAAAUGGGCACUCUCAAACACUGUUGCUGAGAGUAUAGAUCAGUACAGUCUUUUUUAAGAAAAUUGAUCAAAAUUUUAAAUGUGAUCCCUCAGUUCCACUUCUGUAAAUCUUUCCACAGAAAUACUCAUGUUUCUGUUAUUCAGUAUUCACUCACUA